CAAUAGCGUAUAUUAAAGUUGUUGCAGUUAAAAAGCUCGUAGUUGGAUUUCUGGUUGAAGCGACCGGUCGGGCGUUGAUUCGUCUGCACUGGAGUCGGUUUUGGCCAUCCUCUAAGAAAGUGCGUCUGGUAUUAAGUUAUCGGGCGUAUGAUCCUGGUCUUUUACUGUGAAAAAAUUAGAGUGUUUAAAGCAGGCCUUCGCCUUGAAUACAUUAGCAUGGAAUAAUAAGAUAGGACUUUGGUCUAUUUUGUUGGUUUGCAGACCGAAGUAAUGAUUAAUAGGGAUAGUUGGGGGUAUUUAUAUUCCGAUGUCAGAGGUGAAAUUCUUAGAUUUUCGGAAGAUAAACUUAUGCGAAAGCAUUUACCAAGGAUGUUUUCAUUAA
rnacentral:rRNA from 1 species